rnacentral:rRNA from 1 species
GACGAACGCUGGCGGCGUGCCUAACACAUGCAAGUCGAACGAGGUCCAUGCAGUGGCAACACUGCGGAAGACCUAGUGGCGAACGGGUGAGUAACACGUGAGGAACCUGCCCCGAAGACCGGGAUAACCCUCCGAAAGGAGAGCUAAUACCGGAUACCCCCACCUGGUCGCAUGGCCGGGUGAGGAAAUGGAUUCCGCUUCGGGAGGGCCUCGCGGCCUAUCAGCUAGUUGGUGAGGUAACGGCUCACCAAGGCAUCGACGGGUAGCUGGUCUGAGAGGACGAUCAGCCACACUGGGACUGAGACACGGCCCAGACUCCUACGGGAGGCAGCAGUGGGGAAUCUUGCGCAAUGGGCGAAAGCCUGACGCAGCAACGCCGCGUGGGGGAUGAAGGCUCUCGGGUUGGUAAACCCCUUUCAGCAGGGACGAAAUUGACGGUACCUGCAGAAGAAGCCCCGGCUAACUACGUG